CCUUUUUCGGCUUCAAUAAUCACAUAAGACGAGAAGACCCUGUGGAACUUAAAAAUCACUAGUCACCUCCCUAAUACAAAACCUAGCAGGCCCACUACCCAGAGAGCCCUGACUAACAUUUUUUGGUUGGGGCGACCUUGGAGAAUAACAAAACCUCCAAACACAAGACCACAAAUCUUUACUAAGUGCCACCACUCAAAGUACUAACAGUAACCAGACCAAGUAUCCAUCUGACCAAUGAACCAAGCUACCCCAGGGAUAACAGCGCAAUCUCCUCCAAGAGCUCCUAUCGACAAGGGGGAUUACGACCUCGAUGUUGGAUCAGGACAUCCUAAUGGUGCAGCCGCUAUUAAGGGUUCGUUUGUUCAACGAUUAACAGUCCUACGUGAUCUGAGUUCAGACCGGAGCAAUCCAGGUCGGUUUCUAUCUAUGAUUGACUUUUCCUAGUACGAAAGGACCGAAAAAGUGGGGCCAAUACAACAAGCAUGCCCCCUCUUUAAGUAAUGAACGCAACUAAAUUACAAAAGGAGCUCCUUCAUCUCAUCCUAGAAAAGGAUUGCUAGCGUGGCAGAGCUCGGCAAAUGCAGAAGGCUUAAGCCCUUUACCCAGAGGUUCAAAUCCUCUCCCUAGCUUCCCCUACAAAUGAUCUGGCCCCAAACCAUGACAUACCUCACUAUAGCCCUCUCCUACAUCAUCCCCAUCUUAAUUGCAGUCGCUUUCCUAACCUUAGUAGAGCGAAAAGUAUUGAGCUAUAUGCAAGCCCGCAAAGGCCUAACAUCGUUGGCCCAUUCGGACUGCUCCAGCCAAUAGCAGACGGAGUUAAACUAUUCAUUAAAGAGCCAAUUCGCCCGUCAACAUCUUCCCCCCUUCUAUUUAUUGCAACCCCAAUGCUCGCCCUUUUACUAGCAAUAACAAUCUGAAUUCCACUGCCCCUCCCAUUCUCUCUCGCCGACCUCAAUUUAGGCCUCCUGUUCCUCCUUGCAAUAUCUAGCCUAGCAGUAUACUCAAUUUUAUGGUCAGGCUGAGCCUCAAUCUCAUACUGAA